rnacentral:misc_RNA from 1 species
AACGCACAUUGCGCCCCUUGGUAUUCCGAGGGGCAUACCUGUUCGAGCGUCAUUUCAAUCACUCAAGCCUCGCUUGGUAUUGGGGUUCGCGGUCUCGCGGCCCUUAAAAUUAGUGGUGGUGCUAUCUGGCUCUCAGCGUAGUAAAAUCCUCGCUAUAGAGUCUGGUAGUGUCUGUCAGAAACCCCCUCUUUAUGAUUGACCUCGGAUCAGGUAGGGAUACCCGCUGAACUUAA